UACGUAGGCAGCAAGCGUUGUUCGGAGUUACUGGGCGUAAAGGGUGCGCAGGCGGUGGCCCGCGUGGGCGGUGAAAGCUCCUGGCUCAACUGGGAGAGGGCCGUCCAGACGGGGUCACUUGAGAGGCGGAGAGGGGCGUGGAAUUCCGGGGUGGAGCGGUGAAAUGCGUAGAGAUCCGGAGGAACACCGACGGCGAAGGCAGCGCCCUGGCCGCCAUCUGACGCUCAGGCACGAAAGCUGGGGGGAGCGAACAGG
rnacentral:rRNA from 1 species